GACAGAGGAGGCAAGCGUUAUCCGGAAUUAUUGGGCGUAAAGCGUCCGUAGGCGGAUCGAUAAGUCGGGGGUGAAAGCCCGGGGCUCAACCUCGGAAUUGCCUUCGAUACUGUCGGUCUCGAGUCCGGGAGAGGUGAGUGGAAUUCCUAGUGUAGAGGUGAAAUUCGUAGAUAUUAGGAAGAACACCAGUGGCGAAGGCGGCUCACUGGCCCGGUACUGACGCUCAGGUGCGAAAGCGUGGGGAGCAAACAGG
rnacentral:rRNA from 1 species